AUACGAAGGGGGCUAGCGUUGUUCGGAAUUACUGGGCGUUAAAGCGCAUGUAGGCGGACAUUUAAGUCAGGGGUGAAAUCCCGGGGCUCAACCUCGGAACUGCCUUUGAUACUGGGUGUCUAGAGUGUGGAAGAGGUAAGUGGAAUUCCGAGUGUAGAGGUGAAAUUCGUAGAUAUUCGGAGGAACACCAGUGGCGAAGGCCGGCUUACUGGGCACUAACUGACGCUGAGGCACGAAAGCAUGGGGAGC
rnacentral:rRNA from 1 species